UGGAUGAGUGGCGAACGGGUGAGUAACACGUGAGUAACCUGCCCCCUUCUUUGGGAUAACGGUCGGAAACGGCUGCUAAUACCGGGUAUUCACUGUCCUUCGCAUGGGGGGUGGUGGAAAGGUUUUUUCUGGUGGGGGAUGGGCUCGCGGCCUAUCAGCUUGUUGGUGGGGUGAUGGCUUACCAAGGCUUUGACGGGUAACCGGCCUGAGAGGGUGACCGGUCACAUUGGGACUGAGAUACGGCCCAGACUCCUACGGGAGGCAGCAGUGGGGAAUAUUGCACAAUGGGCGAAAGCCUGAUGCAGCGACGCCGCGUGAGGGAUGACGGCCUUCGGGUUGUAAACCUCUUUCGCUCAUGGUCAAGCCGCAACAGUGGUUGUGGUGAGGGUAGUGGGUAAAGAAGCACCGGCUAACUACGUGCCAGCAUCCUCGGUAAUACGUAGGGUGCGAGCGUUGUCCGGAAU
rnacentral:rRNA from 1 species